GUCAAAUUUCUUCGUCACCAGCAGUGCCAAUAGCAGAAAACCCAACAGACAAGUAAUUAGAAAUGGGAAACCGGAGAUUUGCGCAGAUCUCCACCAGUGACGAGGAAGACGAAGAGCCAACUCCGCCGCCGAAAACUCGUUCGUCAAUGAAGUUGGAAGGGAACGAAAGGAAGAGGAAGAAAAUAAAGCUUCCUGAUGAAGACGAAGAGAAAUUGAGGGGAGGGAAAGUGAAAAAAAA
rnacentral:misc_RNA from 1 species